GCAAGUCGAAUGAGUUUAUACUCAUGGCAGACGAGGUAGUAACACGUAGGUACGUACCCUAAAGUCAGGGAUAACCCGGCGAAAGUCGGAAUAAUACUUGAUGGUCCCUUCGGGGUAAAGAUUUAUCGCUCUAGGAACGGCCCGCGGUCUAUCAGCUUGUUGGUAAGGUAACGGCUUACCAAGGCUACGACGGAUAGGGGAGGUGAGAGCCUGACC
rnacentral:rRNA from 1 species